UACAGAGGUGGCAAGCGUUGUUCGGAAUUACUGGGCGUAAAGGGCGCGUAGGCGGCCUUCUAAGUCAGACGUGAAAUCCCCCGGCUUAACCUGGGAACUGCGUCUGAUACUGGAGGGCUUGAGUGCGAGAGAGGGAUGUGGAAUUCCAGGUGUAGCGGUGAAAUGCGUAGAUAUCUGGAGGAACACCGGUGGCGAAGGCGGCAUCCUGGACCGACACUGACGCUGAGGCGCGAAAGCUAGGGUAGCAAACGGG
rnacentral:rRNA from 1 species